UACGUUCCCGGGCCUUGUACACACCGCCCGUCACACCACGAAAGCUGCUUGAACCAGAAGUCCGUGACCCAACCAACCGGAGGGAACGGCCCAAGGUUUGGGUGGUGAUUGGGGGUGAAGUCGUAAACAAGGUACC
rnacentral:rRNA from 1 species